UGCCGACAGGAUGGGGACAACAUUCCGAAAGGAAUGCUAAUACCGAAUGGAGUCCGGGGAUGGCAUCAUCCCCGGAUAAAAGAUGGCCUCUGAAUAUGCUAUCGCCUGUCGAUGGGCCUGUGUCAGAUUAACGAGUUGGCGGGAUAACGGCCCACCAAAGCGACCAUCAGUAGUCGGUCUGAGAGGAUGACCAGCCACAUUGGGACUGAGACACGGCCCACACUCCUACGGGAGGCAGGAGUGGGGAAUCUUCCACAAUGGGCGAAAGCCUGAUGGAGCAACGCCGCGUGAGUGAAGAAGGUCUUCGGAUCGUAAAGCUCUGUUGCACGGGACGAAAACUGGGUUUGAUAAUAUUGAACCCGGGUGACGGUACCGAGCGAGGAAGCCACGGCUAACUACGUGCCAGCAGCCGCGGUAAUACGUAGGUGGCGAGCGUUGUCCGGAAUUAUUGGGCGUAAAGGGAGCGCAGGCGGACAUAUA
rnacentral:rRNA from 1 species